UCUCCACACUCUUUUCUCUCUCUCUCUCUCUCUCUCUCUCUCUCUCUCUCUCUUUCGCGGCCUUCUUGCCUAUAGGUCUCUCCAAGUCUACAGUAACAUUUUCAUCAUCAUUGUCAUCAUCUAGAUGUAUCACAGGUUGAGGAGAAGGACUUAUGAAUUUCUUUCUCAGCACUGGCUUCAACUGCUUCCAUUUCGACAAGGUCUUCAACAAGUUCCAACAAUGUUCAAAUUGAAAUCCGAUAGAGUAUUCUUCCCGCGGCAUAUUGAGAGGAAUUGUUUAGGAAACCUAGCUAAGCUAAUAUCCUUGCAAACAAGCGGUGAACUCACACUUUCACCUAUACGGAUGUAACUACCACCACAACCGUAUAGAUGGAGCUUCUUGGAUGCAAGUACUGGUGAUGUGGAGGAUGACUCCGUUGCAAACUAUUUGGAGUACUAUGACUAAAGCAUGUUGCUUAAGUCGUAGGAGUGUCAAACUUGGAUAGUCUCUUUUGUUGUAUAUUUUGUAUAUGGCUAAUGGGACUUGUAACACUUAGAUGAUAGCCAUUCUUUUGUUAUGUAUAAUUUAUGCUUAAGCCUUAAACAGAUAGACGUUAAUUGGCUCUUUUGUGUAAUGGACAGUUUAUAUUUAUGA